rnacentral:rRNA from 1 species
UACGAGGGGUGCAAACGUUAUUCGGAAUCACUGGGCGUAAAGGGUGCGUAGACGGCAAGAUAAGUCAAUUAUUAAAUCUCCUGGCUUAACUGGGAAUCUGUAGUUGAAACUGACUUGCUUGAGGAUGGAAGAGAGAAGUGGAAUUCUCGGAGUAGCGGUAAAAUGCGUAGAUCUCGAGAGGAACACCGAUGGCGAAGGCAGCUUCUUGGUCCAUUUCUGACGUUGAGGCACGAAAGCGUGGGGAGCAAACAGG